GAGGGUAUAGCUCAGUGAUAGAGUGCAUGCUUAGCAUACACAAGGUCCUGGGUUCAAUCCCCAGUACUGCCA
rnacentral:tRNA from 1 species